GUGGGGAAUAUUGGACAAUGGGCACAAGCCUGAUCCAGCCAUACCGCGUGGGUGAAGAAGGCCUUCGGGUUGUAAAGCCCUUUUGUUGGGAAAGAAAUCCUAUAUAUUAAUACUCGGUGGGGAUGACGGUACCCAAAGAAUAAGCACCGGCUAACUUCGUGCCAGCAGCCGCGGUAAUACGAAUGGUGCAAGCGUUACUCGGAAUUACUUGGCGUAAAGCGUGCGUAGGUGUUUGUUUAAGUCUGCUGUGAAAGCCCUGGGAUCAACCUGGGAAUUGCAGUGGAUACUGGGCAACUAGAGUGUGGUAGAAGGAUGCGGAAUUUCUGGUGUAGCAGUGAAAUGCGUAGAGAUCAGAAGGAACAUCCGUGGCGAAGGCGGCAUCCUGGGCCAACACUGACACUGAGGCACGAAAGCGUGGGGAGCAAACAGGAUUAGAUACCCUUGUAGUCC
rnacentral:rRNA from 1 species